rnacentral:rRNA from 1 species
GUGGGGAAUAUUGGACAAUGGGCGAAAGCCUGAUCCAGCCAUGCCGCGUGUGUGAAGAAGGUCUUCGGAUUGUAAAGCACUUUAAGUUGGGAGGAAGGGCAGUAAGUUAAUACCUUGCUGUUUUGACGUUACCAACAGAAUAAGCACCGGCUAACUUCGUGCCAGCAGCCGCGGUAAUACGAAGGGUGCAAGCGUUAAUCGGAAUUACUGGUCGUAAAGCGCGCGUAGGUGGUUCAGCAAGUUGGAGGUGAAAUCCCCGGGCUCAACCUGGGAACUGCCUCCAAAACUGCAUGACUAGAGUACGGUAGAGGGUAGUGGAAUUUCCUGUGUAGCGGUGAAAUGCGUAGAUAUAGGAAGGAACACCAGUGGCGAAGGCGACUACCUGGACUGAUACUGACACUGAGGUGCGAAAGCGUGGGGAGCAAACAGGAUUAGAAACCCUUGUAGUCC